GCCUGGCUGGCUCAGUAGGUAGAGCAUGCAACUCUUGAUAUUGUAGUCAUGAGUUCAAGCCCCAUGUUGGGCG
rnacentral:tRNA from 1 species